rnacentral:lncRNA from 1 species
CUCGUAAUGCAUUUUCGCAAUUUACAAUAAAUGUUAUACAUACUUUCACCUAUCUAGUGAGGAAAAAAUAGAAAUUAAAAAAAAAAUGCAAUUUACAACUAUUUCGAAUUAUAGUGCACAGCAAGGACGUAUAUUUGUUUUCCGUCCUUGUGCACAGUUUGUGAUAAAUGGGUGUCAAAAUGUAUUAAACAGAAACCCAAAGACC